CUACUCUUGGACAGCCUUCUGAAAGGAAGAUUAAUACAAGAUGGCAUCAUGAGUCCACAUGUUCACAUGAUUAAAGGUAUUCCGGUAGACGAUGGGGAUGCGUUCCAUUAGAUAGUAGGCGGGGUAACGGCCCACCUAGUCUUCGAUGGAUAGGGGUUCUGAGAGGAAGGUCCCCCACAUUGGAACUGAGACACGGUCCAAACUCCUACGGGAGGCAGCAGUGAGGAAUAUUGGUCAAUGGGCGAGAGCCUGAACCAGCCAAGUAGCGUGAAGGAUGACUGCCCUAUGGGUUGUAAACUUCUUUUAUAAAGGAAUAAAGUCGGGUAUGCAUACCCGUUUGCAUGUACUUUAUGAAUAAGGAUCGGCUAACUCCGUGCCAGCAGCCGCGGUAAUACGGAGGAUCCGAGCGUUAUCCGGAUUUAUUGGGUUUAAAGGGAGCGUAGAUGGAUGUUUAAGUCAGUUGUGAAAGUUUGCGGCUCAACCGUAAAAUUGCAGUUGAUACUGGAUAUCUUGAGUGCAGUUGAGGCAGGCGGAAUUCGUGGUGUAGCGGGUGAAAUGCUUAGAUAUCACGAAGACUCCGAUUGCGAAGGCAGCCUGCUAAGCUG
rnacentral:rRNA from 1 species